UUUUUGAGAGUGAUUGUAGGAUUUUUCAUAAUGUUCAAUGGUUGAUUUCAUCCAAGAUGAAGUCCUAUCAUGUUUUAGUGAAAUUAUGUUCCUAAGUCAAAGAUCCAUAUUUGCAAGUAAAGAAAUUGAGUUGGGUAUGAAAAGAUUAUGAAUAAAUGAAAAGUCUAGUCUAGAAGGACCUCUCGACAAGCUCAAUUGUGCAUAAAUUAAUUUUUGAGAAGACAAGUCUAGU
rnacentral:lncRNA from 1 species